rnacentral:rRNA from 1 species
AUUGAACGCUGGCGGCAGGCCUAACACAUGCAAGUCGAACGCGUGGCGGACGGGUGAGUAAUGUCUGGGAAACUGCCUGAGGGAGGGGGAUAACUACUGGAAACGGUAGCUAAUAACGCAUACCAUCAGAUGUGCCCAGAUGGGAUUAGCUAGUUGGGGGGGUAACGGCUCACCAGGGCGACGAGCCCUAGCUGGUCUGAGAGGAUGCCCAGCCACACGGGAACUGAGACACGGUCCAGACUCCUACGUGAGGCAGCAGUUGGGAAUAUUGCACAAUGGGCGUAAGCCUGAUGCAGCCAUGCCGCGUGUAUGAAGAAGGCCUGCGGGUUGUAAAGUACUUUCAGCGGGGAGGCGUUACCCGCAGAAGAAGCACCGGCUAACUCCGUGCCAGCAGCCGCGGUAAUUC